GUGUUUGCUUCAGCAGCACAUAUACUAAAAUUGGAAUAAUACAGAGAAGAUUCAUGUGGCCUCUGCACAAGAAUGGCAUGCAAAUUCGUGAAGAGUUUCAUAUUUUU
ensembl:snRNA U6 U6 spliceosomal RNA